CAACAUAUACAAAUAAAACAUACAUAUUUUAUAAAAAAAAACGAAUGAAAUGUAAAUCUUAACAAAUCUUGAGUCUACUAUGCAGUACUUCAAAAACAUUGGAAUUUAAACAUUUUAAAGCGAAUCAUUUAUAUUUUGUAUACUUUAUUACGUAUAUGCUAGUGGCAUUGGUUUAUUUCUAUUUAAUAGGCCGACGAACGCUAAAUAAAUUGUAACAAGGUUUUUAAUUGUUUCGUAAAUAUGGAGAAUUGUGGAGAGGACUUCGGAAUAUAUAUGCUUGUAGUGGCGCCCGAAAUGAAAAUAUAUGCAGUCGGUUCGAUUUUUUUACAACUAUAAAGAUUCACAACCAAAGUUUCAAAUACACGUCGAAAAAUUCUAGAUUUUAUGAACUCGGAAGCUAACUAGAUUUAAGAUGGCUUGAUGAAAGACAUUCAAAUGUAUCUAAAUACGUCACUUUCGGAGACAGAAAGUUUAGAAUAGUGGAAUGAGCAUCAAAAGAAUAUCGGCAAAUGGCUGGAACCUGCAUAGUCGGAAAAAGAUCGAGACUUAAUCCGUCAACAGUGAAGAAACAAUUGUUUGUUCAUGACAAUUUCAAAUUGGUAUCAUCUUUGACGAAAAACUAGAUUUUGAAAUAAAAAAUUUCACUUAAUAUUAAAGUGAAAAUUGAUUAAUUUUAUAGUAACAUUAAUUUGA